GCCUCUGUAGCUUAGUGGUUGAGCAGCGCUCUCGUAAAGCGCAGGUCGCCGGUUCGAAUCCGGCCAGAGGCU
rnacentral:tRNA from 1 species